rnacentral:misc_RNA from 1 species
UUUCCGUAGGUGAACCUGCGGAAGGAUCAUUAUUGAAUAAACCUGAUGUGGUUGUAGCUGGCCCUUUCGGGAGCAUGUGCACACCCGUCGUCUUUAUCCUUCCACCUGUGCACCUUUUGUAGACCUGGAUGUAACACUUUCCGAGGCAACUCGGUCGGGAGGAAUGCUGUCAGCUUUCCUUGAAUGUCCAGGCCUAUGUUUUCAUAUACCCCAAAGAAUGUAACAGAAUGUAUUAUUGGGCCUUGUGCCUAUAAACUAUAUACAACUUUCAGCAACGGAUCUCUUGGCUCUC